rnacentral:misc_RNA from 1 species
ACAUUCCCGACUGAUGUGUGUUCCGUGCUUGGCGCUGAUGGCAACUUCGCCCUCUAGUUGGUGUUGGCCGCACAGGACCCACAGGGCUUGAGAUAAUC